GUAUCUGGAAGUAUUAUUAAAUGCGACUAUAACAUCUUGUUGUUUCUCUUCAGAGAGACUCAACAUAAAGUCUCUUUCAUAGCAGUACAAAAACAAAUCGGCGACCAGGGGUGCACAAUUAGUACCCAUAGGAAUUCCUACGAUCUGUUUAAAUAGGGUAUUACCAAACCUGACAUAAAUGUUGUCUAAAAGAAAAGAGAGUGCUCUACAAACUUCGUCACAGGUCCACAUAGUAUAAUGUUUAACAAUACCGUUAGUAAAAAAAAGCUUUGUUAGAAUUACAUGCUAGAAAGGUAACUUUUUCCCGUGCAAAAGUUUUCUGAAUUAGGGAAAUUAGUUUAUCAUUGAUUAAUUUAUGUGGCAAAGUUGUAUAAAGUGUAGAAAAAUCGUAUGUACUGACAGUUGAAGCUUGAAAGUUAUUAAUUUUGAAUUUAUCCAAGAUUUCACCAGAAUUUUUAAUUGACCUUAAGAGAUGUUUGCCUGUGUUUUCAUAGACUUUAUCACAAUAUCUAAUUACAUGUGUUUUAAUGGCAGUCAAACAAGACGUCAAUAAAAUAGAAAGUUUACUUGUAGUGCAAGAUGUAGAAUUAGCAAUAAAUCUGGCUUAGUAAGGUUUUUUAUGUAAUUUAGGAAUCCAAUACAUAAUAGGAAGUUUGAGUUCUUUUUCAUUUAUUUGGACUUUAAGAUUAGAAAUAUUAGUAAAAUGAUUGUUUACAAUGUCUUUUUCGGAGGCAGAGGUUUUAGAAUACGCAUUAGUGCUAUUUAGUUCCUUAUGCAAAACGUUAAUGUAAUGGAUUCGUCAAACAAUUAUAAUAUUAUUAGACGCCUUGUCCGCUGGCACCACAACAAAUUUUGAAUGAAAAGCUAGAAUAUCUUUUUUCAGAUGUCUUAAAGUAAGUCUUGGUUUAGGUGGCAAAAGAUGUUCAUUUCCACGAUAAAAAUUAAUACGUGAAUCAAUUAUUUUAAAUAAAACCGUAAUUAAUAGAAAUAAUUCAAGGAAUGUUUUACGGAAUUUAAUGGAUAUAAAAGUUGGCUUAGGAUAUGGAAAUAUUUCACAACGGCCUUAGAUCAACAAAGAUCUUUGUGAUGCAGAAUUAGGAUUGUGUAGAUAUAGAUAAUUUCGAACAACAAAAAUAAAAUACCAUGUUCCUUUGUUGACAAGAAAAUCAGCUGAGUAAAUCUACAGUGACAAUGAUUAUUUAUGAUGCUUCUACUAGAGUUCAACAUGAACACCUGGUUCCUGGCUUUAUUGAAACAUAUCCAAAAGAAAAUUGUUUUAAAAAAGUGCAUCACAAAUACUAUCUAAAAUAUUCUAGUUCCUGAAUGAAACGAAAACAGACCAGCAAUGUGUAACUUACUUUUGCAUCUUAAAUUGUACCUAAAAUCUGUUCUCUUCAAGAAAAAUUUACAUCCAAAAAGAAAGGUCUUACCAAGACCACUGUGAAAUAUGUAAGAGUUCCUUCAGAAAACUUGUUUGUGAAUUACAUAUAUACCAUUAGAAAACACAAAUGAAACUUGUAAAAAACGCUUAAAAUUAAAGUGGAUUGGUCUAGAAUGUACAUAUAUUCCAGAUUAAAGUACUUUGUAUUGAUAAAUAAAUAAGAGAUUGCGCCUUUUGGAUACUCUUAUGAGAUAUUACUGAAAACAAAAAAGUUGAUUGAUUUCUAAAGAGAUUUUAGUAUGAACACAAUAUAUGAUGAGUUAUAAUAUUUUGUUGUAGAAACCCUUUAUUAUAUGCUAUAUAUGUUCAUAUGUCAUUCGGUCAUGUAUUUUAUACACUUUGUAAUACCAACAUCACUCGUAUAUACAAUUCCUUUCGUGGUUUUAACAUAUGAUACUAAAUACUAUCAACAUAUUUAUUUAUGGCAUUGUAAAUAUUCCAUUAUAGACCAAUUCACUUUAAAGAAAGUAUGAUUUAAAUUGUUUUUAUUUAAUUAGAUAAAAUUAUAUGUGAAAAAGUUGAACCUAUAUCUACAUAAUGACUAACAUUGAAAAAAAAAUAAUGUUUAAUCUUGUACAAAUUAGUUUAGUAAUAAUAACUUAAGAUAUAAGUUUUUUGUUGUUGUUGUUGUUUUUUUUUUAAAUUUGUAUGCUUAUGUUACAAUAAUGAGAUAUAAGGAAAUUUGGAGGUUUCUUAUAUAAUUACAAUUAUAUGGCAAAAAUGAUAUUUGAAAGGUUGAUAUAACUUUAGAAAAAAAGAGCGAAGGUGUAUAUACAUGUAUUGCAAUUUGCUAUUGGUUUUAUCUUAAUUAAGAUGAACAUAUAUUAUUAGUUAUAAUGAUUUAACAAAUUAUAUAACGUAGAUUAAAUGGUUGUAAGUAAAUAUAACCAAAGCUUUCUGGGUAUCUUAAGACAACGGUUUUUAUACAUGACCAUAUGCACUUUCAAAACGUUUUCAUAAGGAAAAUUGUAUAAAACUACAACGAUUGUCUUUUUCGUUUAAUUAUAAAGAAUGAAAAUAGUAUCUUAAUCUUCCCAUUCUGGAAAUUUCAUCAGUCAUGGCAGUUGCGCGUGCUGUACUAUAGCACCUUACAAUGACGUAAUUUUACCGUAAUAAAUCACAUCCUGUUGUAAGAAAAUAGUUACGGUUGUAAUGACAUAAAUUUCCGUUGAACAUUGGGAAAAAGAAUUUAAAAUAUAAUGGAAUAUGGUAGAAUAUCCAAGAAAAAAUAUCUGACAUGCGUUUGUGGUUCGGAUGGGAAUGUCCGUCCAGAGGGGACCCUUCCAUGUGCGGUAGCUUGGCAAGUGUCUUAGUUUGCCCAAUGGGCGGGUCUCCUCGGGACAGAUAUAUUCCGAUCCGAACCGCAACAUAAUUAUGACAUAUAUUAUUAAUCUAAAAGAUCUUCAUAGUACACUUAAAUCAUUACAAGACAAUAGAAAUCAUUAUUAGUGCUGUUCAGAUGUGUUUAUCAAUUAUAGGUGCAUCUAUAUAAUUGUACAUUAUUGUAUAUUAUCCAUGUUCUAGUUAUAUUUGAUGUUGUUCUGCUUAUAUAUAAACAUAUGUUUAUAGUUAUCUAUAAGUUCUUACCAUUUUUAUGUUUGAGUUACUGUGUAUCUCAUUGUUAAACUGGUAUAUUUAUUAUUGACAUGUACAUUAAACUUCAGAGAAAAGAAAACACAAAAUGACAUUAUAGUACUUAUCUCUUAAUAUGUUAUAAAGAAAGUAACAUACAUUCAGUUAACACGAUAAGGGUACAUCCAGAAGGAUGGGAUAUUGUCAUGUUACUAUAUGUAUGACGUCAACUUUUGCGUCAUUGUAUAAUCAAUGUUGUAACAACAUAUUUUUAAUAUUGUCAGACUGUCUUUUUAGUAUUAGAUUAUUCUUUGUAAUUGUUUAAAUUAAUGCACACUUUGAAAUUUGGUAUAUUGUAUUUAGUUUCAGUCUUCUUAUUUCUAUUUUACAUAGAGCACAACUGCACGCACUUUAUAUUUGUUACAAGAAUAAUGCCAAGUAAAAUGAUCAUUACAUCCAUGUAGGACGUAUAACAGCUGCAAACUCUAAUGUCAUUAUUAGAUUAUCGCUUACUUUUAGAUUAAAUUUUGAUAUUAUCUAGCUAGCUUACGGAACGUCGCUGGUUCUACUCAGGUGCCCGUUCGUGCCUGAAAUAAUGCACGAAAGGGCACCUAAAAUCUUCCUCCACCAGUAAAGCUGGAACGUCGCCAUAUGACCUAUACUGUGUCGAUGUGACGUAAAACCCAAAACAAACAAAUCAAAACAAAUUCAAACAUUUAGAAAGUGUUUUAUAUAGAUCAAACUACAGUAAUUUUUUUUAAAUAUACAAAAAGUUUAACUACUGUAACAUUCUUUUAGUGACAGCAAUGCAACUUUAUUACCAUACAUUUGCAAACUAGUUAUAAAUAUAAGCUUUUCAAAGAUAUUAUGCUUGUAACGAAUUUCGAGUGUUUCAUUAAAUUGCACCCAUAUAUGCCCUGUGUACUUAUUUGCAUUCGCCUUAAGCGAAAAAUAAUAUCUUUAAAAGAUUUAGAAAUAAUUAAUGUUUUUUUUAAACUUGAUUAAUACAUGUAUAAAUGACAACUUGCAUAUCCUGUGUUUUAGUUAACCUGAGUGCAUUGUCCUUGUGGUGAAUUCUUAGGAUCGUCGAAACUUUAAAAAUAUCGCUACAAAAGUGCAAUGACUAGAGAUAAGAUAUUUGUUUUGUAGCAUUUUCUAAUAAAACUUUACUUUGAAGUUUGUCCAAAUCAUGCUCUAGGGUUAAAUCUGACCCCGCCUUUGGGUUCUAUUUUACAUAGACUCAUGAAGGGAACAUCUGUUAAGUUAUUCUUCCUUAAAGGUCGUUGCAUAGAGCUCAGAGAUUUUAUAUGGGACAUUGUCUUAAUAAAUUGCCAAAAUCAAUGGAUUUCAGUUGAGUGAAUUAGGGACAACAUCUUAUUACUUUUAGAUAUGUUUUUUUGUUUACAUGUAUAUAGUUUUCAUAGAAACGAUUAUGUAUAAUGUAUUAAGAUAUGUAUUUUUGUAUUACGAAUGUAUUCAAUAUAGCACUUAUUCUCUAUUAACCCAUUCAUAUCAGUAAUUAUACCCUUACACAAUGAAGUUGUAAAGAAGGUUUGUACUGGAAUCACCUUGGUUUUCCUUCAUGCUUUUUAUAUUUAGUUUUCUUGAAUAUUCAUAGGUAGAUAAAUCUAAUAAAAAGGCUGUGUGUAAAAACCAUAUUUCUUAUAACAGAAUUUAUAACACAUAAAACCCUUUAAUGUUCGCAAAGCUUAAUUUUUGGUUCCAAGCCAUUGAGGUAAAUUGCUCCCAUGUGCACAUUUUAGAGUUAUUUCUAUUAUGUAUUUUAAAUUUUCAUAUUUUUACAUUUUGCCUAAACACAUCUCAUACAUAAUUGGAGGUUACAAUCUACUUGAAACGAUUUGCCAGAUAUAUCUUAUUGGGGUAAAUGCAGUGACAUAAUUUUGUAGGUAUUGCCCUUUGUUAUAGUUUAGACAUAUUUUUUGUGUAGAGCAUAAUUUUUAGUCCAUAAUUAUAAUGUUUGAGCAUGAAAGUUUAACUUUCUGACAAAACAACAGACAAUGUUAUUUGUACAAGCUAGGGGAGAGGAUGUUAUAAAACCUU